rfam:Schistocephalus solidus strain NST_G2 genome assembly, scaffold: SSLN_scaffold0010400
GGCCUCGUAGCUCAUUUGGCUAAAGCGUUGGCUGUACUAAAGCCUUCCCCUUGCUGGCGUGGGUUCGAAUCCCACCGAUGCCG